rnacentral:rRNA from 1 species
AUACGUAGGGGGCGAGCGUUGUCCGGAAUGAUUGGGCGUAAAGGGCGCGUAGGCGGCCCGGUAAGUCUGGAGUGAAAGUCCUGUUUUUAAGAUGGGAAUUGCUUUGGAAACUGUUUAGCUGGAGUGCAGGAGAGGUAAGCGGAAUUCCUAGUGUAGCGGUGAAAUGCGUAGAUAUUAGGAGGAACACCGGCGGCGAAGGCGGCUUACUGGACUGUAACUGACGUUGAGGCUCGAAAGCGUGGGGAGCAAACAGGAUUAGAUACCCUGGUAGUCCACGCCGUAAACGAUGAUUACUAGGUGUUGGUUGUCAUAGACAAUCGGUGCCGCAGCAAACGCAAUAAGUAAUCCACCUGGGGAGUACGUUCGCAAGAAUGAAACUCAAAUGAAUGGGCGGGG